rnacentral:rRNA from 1 species
UGAGGAAUCUUGGACAAUGGGCGAAAGCCUGACGCAGCGACGCCGCGUGGAGGAUGACGGUCUUCGGAUUGUAAACUCCUGUUAAGUGGGAAGAAAAGCCCGUUUUUAAUACAAUCGGGUAAUGACGGUACCAUUAGAGAAAGCACCGGCUAACUUCGUG